rnacentral:rRNA from 1 species
GGACGCAAGUCUGAUGGAGCAACGCCGCGUGAGUGAAGAAGGGUUUCGGCUCGUAAAGCUCUGUUGGUAGUGAAGAAAGAUAGAGGUAGUAACUGGCCUUUAUUUGACGGUAAUUACUUAGAAAGUCACGGCUAACUACGUGCCAGCAGCCGCGGUAAUACGUAGGUGGCAAGCGUUGUCCGGAUUUAUUGGGCGUAAAGCGAGUGCAGGCGGUUCAAUAAGUCUGAUGUGAAAGCCUUCGGCUCAACCGGAGAAUUGCAUCAGAAACUGUUGAACUUGAGUGCAGAAGAGGAGAGUGGAACUCCAUGUGUAGCGGUGGAAUGCGUAGAUAUAUGGAAGAACACCAGUGGCGAAGGCGGCUCUCUGGUCUGCAACUGACGCUGAGGCUCGAAAGCAUGGGUAGCGAACAGGAUUAGAUACCCUGGUAGUCCAUGCCGUAAACGAUGAGUGCUAAGUGUUGGGAGGUUUCCGCCUCUCAGUGCUGCAGCUAACGCAUUAAGCACUCCGCCUGGGGAGUACGACCGCAAGGUUGAAACUCAAAGGAAUUGACGGGGGCCCGCACAAGCGGUGGAGCAUGUGGUUUAAUUCGAAGCAACGCGAAGAACCUUACCAGGUCUUGACAUCCAGUGCAACCCUAAGAGAUUAGGUGUUCC